UACGUAGGAGGCAAGCGUUGUCCGGAAUUAUUGGGCGUAAAGAGCUCGUAGGCGGUUUGUCGCGUCUGCUGUGAAAACGCGAGGCUCAACCUCGCGCCUGCAGUGGGUACGGGCAGACUAGAGUGCGGUAGGGGAGAUUGGAAUUCCUGGUGUAGCGGUGGAAUGCGCAGAUAUCAGGAGGAACACCGAUGGCGAAGGCAGAUCUCUGGGCCGUAACUGACGCUGAGGAGCGAAAGCGUGGGGAGCGAACAGG
rnacentral:rRNA from 1 species